UUUUUUUUUUUUUUUUGUUCUUGUCUAUGUACAUAUAAUAAUAUUUUUAGUAAUUUAGUGUCUUAUUAUUAUGUUUAUUUUUUGUGGUUAUUAUUUUAUGCAAGUGAUACUAGUCGUUAUAUUAUACAUACAUAAUAAUAUUUGGUAAAAUAAAAAUUUAUUUUUCCCAUCAUUAUACGAUUAUGAUAUUUAAUUUAAUUUUUAACAGUCGCAAACAUAAUUAAUUUUUUUUUAUAGGUUAUACAAAAAAUGGUUUUAUAAUGUAUAAUAUUAUUACUGUAUUUUAUUAUUAUUAUUAUUAUUAUUAUAUCUCGUGAUGUAUAGUUAGAAUUAUAGACAGCGCUAAAAGCAAUAUUAAUCAUUACCUAUAUCUGUUUGAAUGAAAUUAUUACGAUUAUAACAAUAUUAUAGUAUAUUUUUCUCGUAUUAUAAUAUUAUAUAUAGUUCUUCGUUGUGUGUUUGAACCUCGAAUAGCUAGGUAGGUACAUUAUAAAUUGCAUUGAAGACAAAUGUUUUGAAAAAAAAAAAAAGCAAUAAUUUAAAAUAAAAUCGUAUUAAUAUUAUGUGUUUAUUUUUAUUAUUAUCUUUAAUUUAUAAAGGUUUGUUUGUUUUUUUUUUUUUUUUUCUGAAAAAUGAAAUAAACUUGAGUGUGAG